rnacentral:lncRNA from 1 species
AUUGUGCCCGCACUGUGGCAAACACAAGAGGACAUGAAUGGUUGGCGGUGCAGUGUGGUGGAAGUGCAUUGCAGUGGAUCCCAAGGAAACCAGAGGCAAAUUCUGGCUCUGCCACUAGCAAGGCUCUGUGGCUAGGGUACCCCUGUGGAAUUCAGCCUCCUCAUCCGUGAAAUGAAGAAGUGAAACAAAAACAUCUUAAUGUUAUUUCUAACACCUGCUUUCUCUGGAUUCAGCAUCAGAAUAUAUCCAGAUAAGACUGCAAACAACUGAGAGAGCUAAUUCUUUGCUGUUGGGAAUGAGAGUUAGACUACCAUCAAACUCUUCACCCACAACCCUAGAAGCCAGCAGACAGUGGAGGAAUAUCUGCAACCACUAAGAAGAAAGGCUGCCAUCCAGGACUCCUAUUCCCAGGAAAGAUAUCAGUCACUCAUCAAGAUUAGAACAGAGAUCACAAGACAGGAGCAGAUGUCCAGAAUGAUGUUGUCAUUGAACGUAUGUGAUGUAAGUGUUAAGAAAGGAUUCUUGAAACAGAAGAGAAAUACUGUAAGAGGAAACCUAGCAAUGAUCUGCAACUGUAAGUUUUAAAUUAUUUCCACAAAACCCACGUAUGGAGCAGGGUGCACUGUCUGGGGGAAGUGUGAGAGUGGGAAAG